rnacentral:rRNA from 1 species
GCGUGUGUAGGCGGUUUGUUAAGUCUGUUGUGAAAGCCCCGGGCUCAACCUGGGAAUGGCAAUGGAUACUGGCAAGCUAGAGUGUGAUAGAGGAUGGUGGAAUUCCCGGUGUAGCGGUGAAAUGCGUAGAGAUCGGGAGGAACAUCAGUGGCGAAGGCGGCCAUCUGGAUCAACACUGACGCUGAGACACGAAAGCGUGGGGAGCAAACAGGAUUAGAAACCCUVGUAGUCC